GAUGAACGCUGGCGGCGUGCCUAAUACAUGCAAGUCGAGCGAACGGACGGGGAGCUUGCUUCUCUGAUGUUAGCGGCGGACGGGUGAGUAACACGUGGAUAACCUACCUAUAAGACGGGGAUAACUUCGGGAAACCGGAGCUAAUACCGGAUAAUAUUUUGAACCGCAGUGUUCAAAAGUGAGAGACGGUCUUGCGGUCACUUAUAGAUGGAUCCGCGCUGCAUUAGCUAGUUGGUAAGGUAACGGCUUACCAAGGCAACGAUGCAUAGCCGACCUGAGAGGGUGAUCGGCCACACUGGAACUGAGACACGGUCCAGACUCCUACGGGAGGCAGCAGUAGGGAAUCUUCCGCAAUGGGCGAAAGCCUGACGGAGCAACGCCGCGUGAGUGAUGAAGGUCUUCGGAUCGUAAAACUCUGUUAUUAGGGAAGAACAGAUGUGUAAGUAACUGUGCACAUCUUGACGGUACCUAAUCAGAAAGCCACGGCUAACUACGUG
rnacentral:rRNA from 1 species